AGAGUUGAUCAUGGCUCAGGAUUAACGCUGGCGGCGUGCCUAAUACAUGCAAGUCGAAUGGUAGUAGCAAUACAAACCAUGGCGAACGGGUGAGUAACACGUAGGUAACCUGUCUUUAAGACGAGGAUAACCAUUGGAAACGAUGGAUAAUACUGGAUAGGACAUCAUAAAGGGCAUCCUUAGAUGUUUAAAGAUUAUAAUGUCACUUAGAGAGGGGCCUGCGGCGCAUUAGCUAGUUGGUGAGGUAAGAGCCCACCAAGGCGAUGAUGCGUAGCCGGACUGAGAGGUUGAACGGCCACAAUGGAACUGAGAACGGUCCAUACUCCUACGGGAGGCAGCAGUAGGGAAUUUUCGGCAAUGGGCGCAAGCCUCGACCGAGCAACGCCGCGUGAACGAAGAAGUUAUUCGUAAUGUAAAGUUCUUUUAUCUGGGAAGAAAAAACAAAUUGACGGUACCAGAUGAAUAAGCUCCGGCUAACUACGUGCCAGCCGCAGC
rnacentral:rRNA from 1 species